CCCUUAGAUGUUCUGGGCUGCACGCGUGCUACACUGAUAUUGCCAAUAUGUCAUUCUUAUCCGAAAUGGAUUGGGUAAUCAAGUAAUGAAAUUUCAUGCUUGGAAUCGGUAAUUGCAAUUUUAUCGUGAACGAGGAAUUCCUAGUAAGCACUAGUCAUCAGCUAAUGUUGAUUAUGUCCCUGCCCUUUAUACACACCGCCCGUCGCUACUACUGAUUGGGUGUUCAAGUGAGAUGCUUAGACCCUUGUUGCAUGGUUCAUUAUUGUGCUCCGAAAGGAAAAAGUUUCAAGCUUGAGUGUCUAGAGGAAGUAAAAGUCGUAACA
rnacentral:rRNA from 1 species